CUUUCCGGAGGCGCCUCUUUUUUGUGGACAUCGCAAACGGCAGUCUCCGCCACCCCAUUCCGCAACAAUCCAAAUCUCUCCGUGCCCAUCCCGCCGCCUCUCCUCCUCCAAUGGUGGCGAUCAAUCUCGCUGCGAUUCCCACCGAGGCGCCGUCGAAUUGACCUGAUCGGAAGGGUUUCUCCUGUGGACUGGAUGCUGUUGAACUGCGCGGCCAGGGGCCCCGUCAACCUCUGCCUUAUUCCUGGCGAGAGGAGCAGCAGCGUACAGGGAGGCUGUAUCGGAGGCUUUCCAGCGAAGGACGGAUGGUGGCGACGUGUCAGUCGCGAUGAGGCUCCUCAUCGCUUGGUCGUCGCCGCUCGAGCUCGGCUCUCUCAUUUCUUCUCUUUCCCAAUCGGUUUGGAUUCGCAGACUUUCCAAACUCAAGAUGUAUCUCAACUUCUGUGGAUUGGUCCUGUACCUGGUGAUAUUGCUGAAGUGGAAGCAUACUGUAGAAUCUUCCGGGCUGCUGAACAAUUGCAUUCUUCGAUAAUGGAUGCUUUAUGCAAUGAAGAAACUGGAGAGUGUGCUGUUCCUUAUGAUAUCCCUUCCGAGGAUAUGCCUAUGCUUGAAGACAAGAUAGUUGCAAUACUUGGUUGCAUGUUAGCAUUGCUGAAUAGAGCUAGAGAAGAUGUCUUGUCAGGGAGGUCAUCUAUCAUGAGUUCAUUCCAGGUCUCAGACAUUACUACUUUUGAUGGUAAGGUUCCACCACUUGCUGCUUUCAGGAGUGAAAUGAAAAAGUGCUGUGAGAGCUUGCAGGUUGCACUUGCAAGUUAUUUUACACCCACUGACGAUCACAACACUUAUAUCUGGAGACGACUGCAAAGGUUGAAGAACGUUUGCUAUGAUGCUGGAUUUCCACGUGCAGAUGGCUAUCCUUGUCCAACAAUAUUCGCCAACUGGGGUCCUGUAUACUUUUCCACUAGGAAAGAGGGCAAUAUGCUGGAAGAUUCUGAGAUAGCAUUUUGGCGGGGUGGCCAAGUAACAGUUGAAGGUUUGACAUGGUUAUUGGAAAAUGGGUUUAAAACAAUUGUAGAUCUGAGGGAAGAGGCGUCCAAUGAUGAAUACUAUCUAGCAGUUCUCCAAAAAGCUGUUUCACAUGGAAAGAUAGAGUUAGUAAAUUUGCCAGUUGAAGUUGGGACUGCUCCUUCAGUGAAACAGGUUGAGCAGUUUGCUAUGUUGGUUGAAGAUCCAAAUCAAAGGCCUAUUUAUCUGCAUAGCAGAGAAGGUGUUGGGAGAACUUCUGCCAUGAUUUCAAGAUGGAGGCAGUAUAUAACACGGUCCUCUACACUCUCAGUUUCACCACUCCAGUUUAACCUUAAUGGAAAUGCAUGUAAAAAUACAGCAGAAGAAGAAGAAAGCCUAAAACCACAUGCUCCUAUCUUACAAUUGCCUAAAGGAAACAUAUCUUCAAGAGGCGGCAUCAUUUCACCUUCUUCAUCUGAUGCGUUUAUUGGUAACAAAAAUCAAAAUAUUCCAGCUUCAACAGUUGAAAACCAGCAUAAAAAGAUAGUGAUAGAUAACUCAUUUUCAGAACAACAAAAUGGUGAUACUAGUGCAGGCCAAUGCUCCGACUUCUCUAUAUGCAGUGAUCCUCUGAGGUCACAAUUUCCUACAUGCAACAUUUUCUCAAGGAAAGAAAUCAUCACUUUUUUCAAAAGUAGAAAGGUUUCUCCUAAAACUUGUAUGAAUAAUCCGCAGAAGAAAUCUGACACUGGACCAGUUACAAGUGCUUCAUCUCAAUUAGGGGAUGAAGCUAAUGGACCCUUGGAGGGUCUGAAGUCAGUUCAAGUAGAAUCUCCAAUUCGGAAAGAAGAAAAUGCUGAUGGUAAUCUUGGUUUUAACAUCAGUAUCAAUAAUGGCACACAUGGAAAACCUAUCAAUACUGAAACUGAUGCAAACAUGAAUGUCUAUCCUAAAUGUACAGGCACUACGACUAUAGAACCUAAAGCUUUAAGAAAUAUGAACAAUAGGGAAGUUGAGCAAGUUUUAAGUAUCACCACAAGAGAAGGAAAAAGAAAGGAUGCUAAAAAUUCUGUGGAGACAGACAAUGCUACUUUGGCUCUUGAUGGAGAUAUGUGUGCUUCAGCUACUGGUGUAGUUAGGCUUCAAUCAAGAAGAAAAGCAGAGAUGUUUCUGGUUCGUACGGAUGGGUUUUCUUGCACCAGAGAAAAGGUAACAGAAUCGUCUUUGGCUUUCACACAUCCAAGCACCCAACAACAAAUGCUCAUGUGGAAGUCUCCUCCCAAGACUGUUCUACUGUUGAAGAAGUUAGGCAAGGCACUUAUGGAAGAAGCCAAAGAGGUUGCUUCCUUUCUUUACCACCAAGAGAAAAUGAAUGUUCUUGUAGAGCCUGAUGUGCAUGAUAUAUUUGCUAGGAUACCUGGUUUUGGCUUUGUACAAACCUUCUACAAUCAAAAUACCAGUGACCUUCAUGAGAGAGUUGAUUUCGUGGUAUGUUUGGGAGGUGACGGUCUCAUCUUACAUGCUUCAAACUUGUUUAGAGGUGCAGUUCCUCCUGUGGUCUCGUUUAAUUUGGGGUCUCUUGGAUUCCUCACAUCACAUCCUUUUGAAGAGCACAAAAAGGACCUAAGGGCAGUUAUCCAUGGGAACAACACACUAGGAGUCUAUAUUACUCUUCGGAUGCGUUUGCGAUGUGAAAUAUUUCGCAGUGGAAAGGCAGUUCCUGGGAAAGUGUUUGAUGUUCUAAAUGAAGUAGUAGUUGAUCGUGGUUCUAACCCAUACCUUUGCAAAGUCGAGUGCUAUGAGCAUGAUCGUCUUAUAACCAAAGUACAAGGUGAUGGCGUCAUAGUAGCCACACCCACUGGGAGCACAGCAUACUCAACAGCUGCUGGGGGAUCCAUGGUUCACCCAAAUGUUCCAUGCAUGCUAUUUACUCCGAUUUGCCCACAUUCUCUUUCAUUUAGGCCUGUCAUACUUCCGGAUUCUGCACAGCUUGAGAUGAAGAUUCCUGAUGAUGCAAGAAACAACGCAUGGGUUUCCUUUGAUGGCAAAAGACGACAGCAGCUCUCUAGAGGAGAUUCUGUUCGUAUAGCAAUGAGCCAACACCCACUUCCAACUGUAAAUAAAUCUGAUCAGACUGGGGAUUGGUUCCGUAGUUUGAUUCGAUGCUUGAACUGGAAUGAACGGAAGGAUCAGAAGGCACUAUGACAUCCAGAGCUCAUCCCCUAUUUAACCCCAAGUAGUUUUACGUAUCCGUACAUACCAUACCUCAGUUACAAACUCGAGGAAGCUCUCCAAGACAUCCAUGACUGCUUUCAAUGCCAUUAUGAUACAUAAAUCUCGCUGUUCCAUACCUUUCAACGAUAGGGUGUUGCUUAAAGAGUGUAAUGCUCAAAGUUGAGGACACCAGAAGACUUUGUUCAAUUUCUAAAGCAGUUAUUGGUGGAACUCGGUGUCUCGGAAGAUGAUACCAAAUACGAAGCCAACUAAGUACUACUCCAUAGUGGAGAAGCCAAAAUGCAGAAUGAAAGAAGUUGGAUGUAUUUGCCAAAAUGUCGUCUGUUGGUAGUGAUUUCAAUUUAUGGCUAUAGGCGAGUGGGGGGCCAAAAGGGGAGGAAAGAUAUUCGGAAUGGGUUCCUUGAGCAGAACCCAUAGAGUUGGUCGUAUAUCUUCUUCCUCCUCCGCACAUACCCAGCAGAUGCAUAACUUGACUGAAGAGGUUUCCCAGUUGAAGGGCAUUAUAAA